AGGCCCCCCGAAGACGACGGGGUUGAUAGACCGGACGUGGACGCCCCGCAAGGGAGUGAAGCCGACCGGCACUAAUGGGCCGACCAACCCAACACA
rnacentral:ncRNA from 1 species